CGCUGCCGGGCCGGGGCUGGGCCGGAGCGGCGGCGCCUGGAUGCCGGCCCGGGGCUGGGCCGGAGACUGGCGCCCGCCCCGAAGCGACUUUCGGUCCCCGACCCGCUCCGCCUGACCCCUAUGAUGAAGAGGGCGUCCACUGGAGACCAAGAGCAGUGAUGACCUUUUAGCUGGAAUGGCCAGAGGGGUAACGGUGACUAAUGGUGUUAAAGGGAAGGAAAGCUCCUGCCCAUCUGCAGCACCUUCGGCAUCUGCCCCUGCCAUGACCACUGUGGAGAACAAAUCCAAGAUUAGCACAGGGCACCAACUGGACAGAGGCCUCCGGUCAGCCUCACUCUGACUGCAACCCCCUCUCACUGGACAGCAUCACCUGGACACAGAGCCUCACCUAGUCUGUGUCCCAUGGACACAACUUUGCUUUGGACAGUGACACCAAGAAUACUCACCCCUUUACUUAGCCAGACCACAGGCAGCCACCUGGACACAAACAUCUCUCCAGAGUCAGCCUCCACACAGACUCCACAGCAGAACUCCCAGGGAGGCACUGGGGCAUGGCUUCAGAGCACCAGGCAGCGCUCCGCGGUGCCUAGCACCCGCUCAGCCAGGGCAGCCUGCAGCGGAGCUUGGAGCCAGCAGCUUCUCAUCUCUUGGCCUCGGGAAAUGUAGCUGGAGUCAUCAUUUAGCAGAGCACGGUGUCCCUGGGUUGGCCACCCAGCUUAGUUUUAAAAUAAAAUAAUGUAAUCUUGG
rnacentral:lncRNA from 1 species